CCUAUGGGAGGCAGCAGUGAGGAAUAUUGGUCAAUGGGCGCGAGCCUGAACCAGCCAAGUAGCGUGAAGGAUGACUGCCCUACGGGUUGUAAACUUCUUUUAUAAAGGAAUAAAGUGUGGCACGUGUGCCCUUCUGUAUGUACUUUAUGAAUAAGGAUCGGCUAACUCCGUGCCAGCAGCCGCGGUAAUACGGAGGAUCCGAGCGUUAUCCGGAUUUAUUGGGUUUAAAGGGAGCGUAGAUGGGUUGUUAAGUCAGUUGUGAAAGUGUGCGGCUCAACCGUAAAAUUGCAAUUGAUACUGGCAGUCUUGAGUACAGUUGAGGUAGGCGGAAUUCGUGGUGUAGCGGUGAAAUGCUUAGAUAUCACGAAGAACUCCGAUUGCGAAGGCAGCUUACUAAACUGCAACUGACAUUGAGGCUCGAAAGUGUGGGUAUCAAACAGGAUUAGAUACCCUUGUAGUC
rnacentral:rRNA from 1 species